rnacentral:lncRNA from 1 species
CUUUUCUGAGGACUACUAUAUGUUGGCCAGUGUACAUUAGGUUCUGUAGGAGACAACGUUGAAUAAGGUACAAGCCCUGGAUCUGAGAGUCUUUAGUGAGACAGACACACCAGCAAAUGACAGCACAAACCGCUCCUAUGCUAGGGGUCUAUCCUGUGUGCUCUGGAAGCACAGAAGAGGGGCACUCGUCUAACUAGGGCUUAUGGAAGACUUCAUGUGAGAAAUUUGAUGGUUGAGCCAAGUCUGGAAGAGAGAGGUAGAAGAUAUGCUCCAUGCAGAGAGCCUCACAUAAGCAAGACUAUGAACGGCAGAAGUCCUCAGAAGAUUCAGCUUCUCUGCAGUGAAGCAGCCAGAGCAUUGGUCGCCAUCUUUUCCCAUUUCCUAGAGGAAGAGACACCUUCCCUCUCCCGUUUCUACCUGCCCAUCAUCAUGUAUGAUACUGAAUCUAUUCUCCCAUCACUGACGGCCACUCUAAGUCACAGGGGGAAACAAUGAGAAGGCCAGCAGACCCACCAAACCCACACUAAAAGGGAGAGAAGCUGUUUCUGGAGAAAGGAAUGUGCGCCAACAACUUGUGUGCUUCUCAGUGGAUGAAUGAAUAAAAGCUAAGGAUAAGUACUGUGCACCUUGCCCUACAAGGUUGCAUUCUGCAGUAAAGAAAAAAAUUAAAACUCCCAAACCUCCUA